GCGAACGCUGGCGGCGUGCCUAACACAUGCAAGUCGAACGUGAAAAGGGAAACCUGAGUAAAGUGGCGUACGGGUGAGUAACGCGUAGGUAAUCUACCCCAGAAUCUGGAAUAACCUGCCGAAAGGCGGGCUAAUACUGGAUAGAGCGAGGGAACUCGUAAGAGAGUUUUUCGGGAAAGGGAGCCCGCAAGGGCCUUCGUUCUGGGAUGAGCCUGCGUCUCAUUAGCUAGUUGGUAAGGUAACGGCUUACCAAGGCGAUGAUGAGUAGCUGGUCUGAGAGGAUGAUCAGCCACACUGGAACUGAAACACGGUCCAGACUCCUACGGGAGGCAGCAGUGGGGAAUCUUGCGCAAUGGACGAAAGUCUGACGCAGCCACGCCGCGGGAGUGAAGAAGGCCUUCGGGUUGUAAAGCUCUGUCGGAUGGGACGAACAUCUUCAUAGUGAAUAGCUAUGAGGACUGACGGUACCAUCAAAGGAAGCACCGGCUAACUCCGUG
rnacentral:rRNA from 1 species